rnacentral:rRNA from 1 species
UACGAAGGGGGCUAGCGUUGCUCGGAAUUACUGGGCGUAAAGCGCACGUAGGCGGAUUGUUAAGUCGGGGGUGAAAUCCUGGAGCUCAACUCCAGAACUGCCUUUGAUACUGGCGACCUUGAGUUCGGGAGAGGUGAGUGGAACUGCGAGUGUAGAGGUGAAAUUCGUAGAUAUUCGCAAGAACACCAGUGGCGAAGGCGGCUCACUGGCCCGAUACUGACGCUGAGGUGCGAAAGCGUGGGGAGCAAACAGG